rnacentral:tRNA from 2 species
AUUAUUUUGGCAGAUUAGUGCUUUUGAUUUAGAAUCAAAUAAUGUAGAUUUUACAAAUAAUA